UGUGUGUGCUCGGGCAGGUCGGGGGAGCCGGAGCUUUGCCCGAGGAGCUGUUGGCGGCCUGCGAGUUUGAAACAUUGCUAGUUUCCAGGGGAACUCUGUUAUGUUCAAGACAUCAUCCACUCUACCCUCGCCUCCAGCCUUGGUUUCUAGCUUUUACACUUAAACAGUUCCAGAUAAAUAAAAAUUUACUUAACCAAGAGUCUUGAAUUUUGGAAGUAGGUCAUUAAAGGAGACGCAAGAAGAGGCUGUCUGGCUUAGCUUCAUCAAAGAGAUUGGGGAUUAAAGUGCUGACAUUGCACUUAGAAACAUGACGUGCUGUAAUUUGAGAGCAGAGAAGGUACAUCUUGGUACUGGUCUUGGAUUUUA